rnacentral:rRNA from 1 species
AUACGUAGGUGGCAAGCGUUGUCCGGAAUUAUUGGGCGUAAAGCGCGCGCAGGUGGUUCCUUAAGUCUGAUGUGAAAGCCCCCGGCUCAACCGGGGAGGGUCAUUGGAAACUGGGGCACUUGAGUGCAGAAGAGGAUAGUGGAAUUCCAAGUGUAGCGGUGAAAUGCGUAGAGAUUUGGAGGAACACCAGUGGCGAAGGCGACUGUCUGGUCUGUAACUGACACUGAGGCGCGAAAGCGUGGGGAGCAAACAGGAUUAGAUACCCUGGUAGUCCACGCCGUAAACGAUGAGUGCUAAGUGUUGGGGGGUUUCCGCCCCUCAGUGCUGCAGCUAACGCAUUAAGCACUCCGCCUGGGGAGUACGGUCGCAAGACUGAAACUCAAAUGAAUUGGCGGGG